CAUUACAUAACUAAGGGUGCCCAAGAUUUCAUACAUUUUAACAGAAUGUUGAGCUCCCAACCUGUUCCCGAGAUAAAAGUUUUUAUAGUAUUUUUUGACAAUAGGUCAUCUUAGAAGAUCCUACUAACAUCACCUUUGCCUUUGAACUGCAAACACCAACAGAGAAAUACAAGUGCCGAGCAAAGGGAGAAGACUGAUGCACCCUCCAGAGAGGACUCCCUGCCUCUGUUGCUCCAGUAGCUCAGAGAGGACAGACAAGAUUUUCAUCUGCAGUGGCCGCAAAUACUAUUCUUAGUGGCUCUGUUUUGUUCCCAAACAGUUAAUUUGGUCUACACCCACACUUGCAGAAAUCUAAACUCGGAAAGUGCGUGCCGGGAAUGGCGAGUCACAGCUCUCGCAGGCUUCAGUGACAUCACCCCUGCUGGGGAACGCCCACUUUCUCCUGCCGGGAGCUCACACAAUGUGAAGUGUUAGUGCCAACAAUUCAGGCAAGGAAAAAAGAGCAACUCAUUUUGAGCAAGAAAUCAUGGCUUAUAACAAUGGGUCCCCAUACCAGUAAGUGAGGAUGGGACGAGCACUCCUCUGUGCUCACUCCUGUCCUAUAAAACUCCUGUCUGAAAAUAGAGAGGAGGGGGUUAGAGAGCAGCCUGCAGUAAAUGGAUGAAGAGACCCAGUGCUGCACAGCAGACUAAGGGAGGAGUGAUGACAGGA